GAGCGCCCAAAGGCAGCAAGGAAAACCCUUCUCCCAGAUACCCCGUCCCUCCACAAAAUAAGAUAGGACCAUAGCACUCUGAGCAUGCUAUAAUCAUGAAAGUAGCGCUAUAUAAAAGCUAUAAUUUAUUCUAUUUUUAUGUUUUUCUUGUUAUUGGGUUUUAUUGUCUUAUAAUGGUAGACAAUUAUUAGCAAUGUUAAGAAAAAUCUGGUUGAAUAGGACUUGCGUGUCAGGCCCCAUCGUGAUACCCCGUCUAUUAUUUCCUCCAGUGGGCUUCCACAGCAAGUUUUAGGGAGGAUGACAAAAAAGGCUCCCGUCCCGUCUACCACGCAGUUCGUUACGGUGACUUAGGGCUGUGGUUAUUUCUCUCAAAAUUAGUGGCCCUACAGCUCAGAACCAAAAAACUGGCUUAAAAAAUCGGCAGUGUUUGCGAAGUUAGUUUUCUGACCAAGAAAAUAUCUUAAAUAUUUAGACAUUUAUUAUGUUCAAAUGUAUUUGUUUAGAACGUUACAUACAACAAAGUGUUUACAAUAUCAUUACAUCUUUAAUCUUUUUUUUUCAAGCAAACUUGCCCUACACCUACAACAGAAUGUGGAUCACAAAAAUGGAAAAGCUCAGUGGGAUGCAAAAACAGAGACACUAAUUGUUACCCUGAGAAUGAUUCGAGAAUUUGAUAUGUUUAAUUUCUAAUAAAGAAAUAGUUGAGUCUAAGACUCUUGGAACAAUACGCCUAUAGAAGAUUGUCUCCAUUUGCCUGUCUGAACAAUACGUAUGUCUCGGAAAGAUCCAAGCAGAUUACAUCUCUAUUACCGAUGGCUCGUAUCCCAAGACGCUCGGAUUAGAAGUGAGAUCAAAGGCCGAACACACCUUAAAUUGCAAAAACUCCAUAUUCCUUCUCUGUACCACAUCAGCCGUGCAUGUGUCCGCCAUAAAAAUAAAA
rnacentral:sRNA from 1 species